UUCGUAGGCGGUUAUUUAAGUCAGGUGUGAAAGGCAUAGGCUCAACCUGUGUAAGCACUUGAAACUGAAUGACUUGAGUUAAGGAGAGGAAAGUGGAAUUCCUAGUGUAGCGGUGAAAUGCGUAGAUAUUAGGAGGAAUACCAGUGGCGAAGGCGACUUUCUGGACUUAUACUGACGCUGAGGAACGAAAGCGUGGGAGCAAACA
rnacentral:rRNA from 1 species